GCUCCUGGAGCAGAAGAAGCCAAGAGACAAAGCUGUCAUAUUUUUCUGUCCCAGGGGCUCCAUUCUUGUAUUCUACCCAUUCUGCAGCCCUGCCAAGAAAGCCAUUCUGACCUUGGAACACUGUUUACUAGAACAGCUCCACUGAGGUGAGGAAGACAAGUGACCUCCUAGAGUUUUGAAGCACAAAGGGUGGCCACCCAAAACCCAGAAGGGACUGAGGGCAGAGUCGACAAGACUGGUGAAAACGUGACUGCUCUGGCACCGUGGCAGACCUGCGCUGGGAACCCAUCAGGCUGUGCACCACAUGUGCCCACCACUGUGCCUCCUCAAGCCUCUCAGUGCACAAGGCCCCAUCUGCCACUUGACCUGUGCCUGCAGAUGCAAAGAAAGCCAUGACACAGACCUGCAAACCCUGAGGCCACAGUGACAGGCAGUCGGCGCCUGGGGAGGGCAGUCUCAGGGAGAAUACUUGCGUCCAUCUGCCUAUCUACUCAUGCAUUCAGUCAACUAGUCAUUCAAUAUUUAAGAAGUACCUAAAGAAUACCAAAGACUAUAUUAGAAAUUGGGGAAACAAAAAGGAAUUUCCAAACCCUAGUGACACACAAAUUAUAAAACAAGGAGACCAAGUUUCAUUAAGACCUGCAAAGAGCGACAUCAGGUCCAGGGAUGAUGGUCCAGUGCAGGGUGGGGAGCACAAGAAAGAUGGGGUAGUACAUGCUGCACCCACCAAAAUGUUCGUCUUUCAUUGUAUGUCCCCUGAUAAUGUCACUGACAGCAGGCACAUCUUCAGAUAAGGCAGACAAUGAUGCAUCCUUGUUCUAAUUCUGGAACUGCUAUGCCACCUCAUUAAUACGGGAAAAUGUGUUAAAAAGCUGCUGAUAAACAGCUGCACAGAGGCAGAAAUAGUGACUCCCAUCACAUUUGCAAGCUUUAUUGGCUCUCCAACAUGGCAUGAGAAACGAAGCCUCCCCCAAGUGUGUAAACUGGGUGAUUUGCUGUAAUUCUUCACUUUAUUGGUAGACAUUUUGCCAUAUCAGGUCUCCCCAACCACAGUUUAAGGACACUUCUGAUUUACACAGCUCUGUAAACUGCCUUUUUCUUAGAAAGAACUAUCAUGUCGCCUGGUGUAGUUGUUUUAAUAUUCCAAUUUGUCAGUAAAACAGAAGACUGACCAGUUUCCAUGCACUGCACAAUUUCUAACAACUGAAUUUCUGCUCACUCAUAGAGCAGUUGAUUAAGAAAUUAGAUACGAGUUACAUGUAAAUCAGCACAAGUCCUGAGUCCAUUGAGGCAACAGAAAGUACCUUUCUUAAGCAAGGGAAGUAAAGCUUCAUCCUAAUCCAUGACCACACCUAGAGUUAGAAAAGAAGUUUGUCUGAAAUGUGGCAGCCAGAGCAGAUUUUUCAAACCUCACAGGUAAUACUCCCCAAUGCCAGAGAAAAGACCCAAUUUACCUUACCUCAAGGAGACUCUGCUUCCUGUUUCUCCAGCUACACUUCCAGCUAGAGGAAAAGUAUCUCCAAAACUCAAUUCCAAUUACCUCUUCCCCUCCCGCCCCCGCUUCCCCCCUUCCUGGUAACAGAUUGAUGGCCUUCUCAGGUGCCUCCCGAAUGCACCCUGUGACCAGGCACAACAGCACUGAGCUCACCAAAUUGAUUUCCACCAGGUCCCUAUUUAGCCUGGGCCUGUGGAGUUGAUUUUCAUUCCUGACCUUCCCUUGACCCUCCCCAACAGAGGAAUCACAGCCUGUUGAGGAAACCUUCUCUGCUAGAUAAAUACUCCACGGCGUUCUGUGUGCUACCAGGUGGCAGCGGCUCCCUUCCUUCUGGAUUGAGGAUUAUGUAUUUGUGUAAUUUUUAUGUUAUGUUUGUUUUCUUGGCAGAUGGCUUACUUCUCAUUAUUGGGGUGCCAUGGUGAGGAGAGGAAGGGUGUAACUCUAGAGGCAUGUUCUGCUUGAUAAAAGGCAGAUAAUAGAAAGGUGGGGGGUUUAACACACGGAGAACAAAACUAUAUAAUUUAAUGAAAUGUGAAGAACACUGGAUCCUGCAAUUAUCCAAGCAAUGCUUGCAACAUGGUAACUUAGAGACAGCAUUUUCUUUGUAGAAGCAUUUAGAGGAUUCUCCGGGCAUACCCAUCUCUUUUGGCCCAUUUCCUCUGAACUCUGUCCCUUCUCUCACCCACAGGAGUGCCUAAACAAGUUCCUGUCUGUGUGCCCCCUCUAGAACAUAUAAAUGCUUCCUGGCAGCACUGAAGGGGGGGGCCUUAGAAUUGCAAAUAUAACAUUAAGUUAAAGCCCUUGGUAUAAAAUUUGACCUAAUUAAGACACUACAGGGCAAAGCAUUCCAAUAGCAAUUACACAGGUUGUAAAGGGGUAAAGUACCUUUUAAAAUCAAGAGCCGCUUCUGCCAGAAAUAAGCACACUGAAGGGUCAAAUGAGGAGCUGUAAAUCCAGGACGUCACUCAUCUUGACCUUAAACAGGGCAUUUCCAUCUCCGGCCAUGAAGGCUGCCAGCGGCGAGGCUUCUGUAGCCAGCACUAGGCUCCCUCUUCUCCAGACCUCUCUCGUCUCUCGUGGCACAGUUUCUCAGAAGCUGAUGGUCCCCUCAUUUGUAGUCCUGGUUUCCCUUACUUAAACAUUCAUUCAUUCCCGGAUCUUAUCUGAGCACUUACUGUACUCCAAGACUUAAGUCAGCUUCUAAAGAUGCAGACAGAUCAAACUGUAACAACAGGGUGUGGGCUUUGGGGUGGGCUUGUUUUUCCUUGUUUGCAAAGAAAAGAAGUUGAAAAAUUACACAGAGGGGUCAUGACUGUAAGGCUCUGAUUUGUUCUUAAUUCAUGAGCAUUUAUCCAAAUACUAAAGAAGCAGAAAUAAAAUCCUGAGUGACAAAACUCAAAUUAUUUUCAUUCCAGGACAAUGAAGUUUCUUCAUGAUCCCAAACUAUGAUGAUAGGACACAAAAACAAUUUGAAAGUCAAUGAUUGUCUCUAGACCA